GCUAGCUUUAGAGCUGCUGCCAGGCACCAGUGGUCACCCUGAGGCUGCAGAGCUCUGACAGGGCCAGCCCCCGAGCCACAGCCCAACACCAUUGUGAGGACAGAGCCCUGUGAGGCCCCAGCCCCAGCCAGUUGUGUUUUUUCAGCUCCUGUCUCCCACCCCAGGCGGCUUCAGGAAAGUGGCCUGGUCACCAGGAGCUCCAAGGAGCCUGACCGGAAGGGGACAAUUAAACCAGAGGAGAAAGAGUUAACCCCAGCCUGGAGGGGGCUCCGCUUUCCCACCCUCCACAAUCACCAGGAAAUAAACAAG
rnacentral:lncRNA from 1 species